rnacentral:rRNA from 1 species
GACGAACGCUGGCGGCGUGCUUAACACAUGCAAGACGAACGGAAAGGCCCUGCUUUUGUGGGGUGCUCGAGUGGCGAACGGGUGAGUAACACGUGAGUAACCUGCCCUUGACUUUGGGAUAACUUCAGGAAACUGGGGCUAAUACCGGAUAGGAGCUCCUGCUGCAUGGUGGGGGUUGGAAAGUUUCGGCGGUUGGGGAUGGACUCGCGGCUUAUCAGCUUGUUGGUGGGGUAGUGGCUUACCAAGGCUUUGACGGGUAGCCGGCCUGAGAGGGUGACCGGCCACAUUGGGACUGAGGUACGGCCCAGACUCCUACGGGAGGCAGCAGGGGGGAAUAUUGCACAAUGGGCGGAAGCCUGAUGCAGCAACGCCGCGUGCGGGAUGACGGCCUUCGGGGUGUAAACCGCUUUCGCCUGUGACGAAGCGUGAGUGACGGUAAUGGGUAAAGAAGCACCGGCUAACUACGUG